CCUGUUCUCAGGAGUGACGGGCGAUUUGUGCAUGCUUGGUUUCUUUUUCUCUGUAAAUUUUUAUUUUUAACAUUAAUCAUAAGUCCUCUUUCAUUCUAAAUCUUUCUUAAAUCCAUACAGUGUGCUAUAUUUAUGUAUCCCGGCUCAACUCACUCAUUAUUCCUGUCUUGAUUUGUUUUUUUAUAAAUUUUAUUUUCUAAUCAUCUUCUAUUCAACGAUUUUAAAACAAUGAUAUAGGGAAUUAUAGAAAGAGCUCCUCUAAUCGUGGGUUGUCUAUUAAUGGCUAGGAUCCCCUAUUCUGGCCUAGCACCGCCAUGUUCUUUAGAUUUCACUUAUAUAGAUACUAUCUAUAAUUUUAGGUAAAA
rnacentral:rRNA from 2 species